rnacentral:snRNA from 1 species
ACCUUUGCGCAGUGGCAGUAUUGUAGCCAAUAAGGUUUAUCCCAGGUGCAAUUAUUGCUAAUUAAAAAAAAAAGACUGCUUAAAAC